UAAUGAAUUGUAAUGGGGGUUGAUGCUGGCGAGUACCCUUGCAUGUGCUCAUCCCCAACAAUUUUCCCUAAACACCUGUGCACUCCUGAAGAAGGGGGAAAUUCCAAGUUGAUUUUCUUGGGUUUUCUCUCUCUUCUUUCACAUAUACGCUGAUUAUAAUAUUGAAUGUGCUUGUGCUAACAAUGGCAUUAAUAAAAUACAACUUUUAACAACGGAUCUCUUGGCUCUUGCAUCGAUGAAGAACGCAGCGAAAUGCGAUAAGUAAUGUGAAUUGCAGAAUUCAGUGAAUCAUCGAAUCUUUGAACGCACCUUGCGCUCCCUGGUAUUCCGAGGAGCACACCUGUUCGAGUGUUAUAAUAUUGUCAAGCUGGGGAUGCUUUUGUCUCGAAAGUCAUCAUUCGCUUGGUUUGUUGGGCUUUGCCUUUAUCCUGUAAUUGGAAUGGCUGGCCUUAAAAGCAUUAGCUGAUCUGUGUGUGGGAUUGGUUCUACUUGGUGUGAUAAUGAAUCAAAUUGCUGAGGACAUCCUUCGGGAUGGCCAAUUUCCCAUGUCCAGAUUGCUCUCUAAUCUGGGUUUUACUGAUUCUCUUAUGGGAUUGUGUUGUACCCUUCAAUUUUGACCUCGAAUCAGGUGGGACUACCCGCUGA
rnacentral:rRNA from 1 species